rnacentral:misc_RNA from 1 species
GAUGAAGAACGUAGCGAAAUGCGAUAAGUAAUGUGAAUUGCAGAAUUCAGUGAAUCAUCGAAUCUUUGAACGCACAUUGCGCCCGCCAGUAUUCUGGCGGACAUGCCUGUUCGAGCGUCAUUUCAACCAUCAAGCCCCCGGGCUUGUGUUGGGGACCUGCGGCUGCCCGCAGGCCCUGAAAACCAGUGGCGGGCUCGCUGUCACACCGAGCGUAGUAGCAUCAUCUCGCUCAGGGCGUGCUGCGGGUUCCGGCCGUUAAAAAGCCUCUAAUACCCAAGGUUGACCUCGGAUCAGGUAGGAAGACCCGCUGAACUUAAGCAUAUCAAUAAGCGGAGGA